rnacentral:lncRNA from 1 species
UUGGAAUUUAAUAUUUUUAUGUGGGACCCAAAAAGAUCAAUUUAAUAAGAAACGAUUCAUAAUUAAUCUUAAAUUUACAUUUACAUGCAUUAUAGAUAUCAAAUAAAUCAUACUGCACUAAGUUUAUUAAGACUCUGUUUGGAUGUAUAAACAUCUUAUUUGGCAUAUCCUUUUGAUUUAAUUAAAAAAAAUUGAUAGUCAAUGAGAAAUAUAAUUAAAUAUCUAGAAUGAAAUACUAAAUUAAUUUUUGAGAAUAAGAUAAAUCAUUCCAUAAGUUUAUU